GGCCUAGUGGUGCUGGGAAAAGUACUGUGGUGCAACUUCUAGCACGGUAUUAUGAGCCAACUCAAGGUUGCAUCACUGUGGCAGGAGAAGACAUCCGCAUAUUUGACAAAAGAGAAUGGUCUCAAGUAGUAUCUCUAGUGAAUCAGGAUCCAGUCCUAUUCUCGGUGUCUGUCGGAGAAAAUAUUGCUAAUGGUCUCCCAGAUAAUGUUGUCUCCAAGGAUGAGAUAAUAAAAGCUGCUAAAGCUGCCAAUGCCAUGAAUUCAUCAUCUCUCUUCCACAGGGGUAUGACACUCUUGUUGGAGAACGAGGCAGUCUCCUAAGUGGGGGACAAAGACAGAGAAUUGCAAUUGCACGGGCCCUUCUGAAAAAUGCUCCUAUUCUAAUACUUGAUGAGGCUACUAGUGCACUGGACGCGACAAGUGAGCGGCUCGUGCAGGAAGCUCUCAAUCACUUGAUGAAGGGAAGGACUUCUCUGGUGUUGCCCACAGGCUGAGCACCGUGCAGAAUGCACAUCGAAUUGCUGUUUGCUCGGAGGGCAAGAUAAUUGAACUGGGGACGCACACCGAACUGGUUGCUAAGGGAGGCAGGUACGCAUCACUUGUCGGGACACAGAGGCUUGCUUUCGAGUAAUAACCCGUCACCAACCGAGUAAUGGUUCUAUCGUACCCAAGGUGCAUUCUAUAUUUACUCUAUUUUUUUUGUGAGUAUACUUACUCUAUUUUCCUUCUUACAUCAUUAGAGGUUAUAGGUUAUUUAUAGAAAAGAAAAGAGGUUAUAGUUUGUUACUAAUCCGCAGCAGCUGUACAUGAAUCAGGAAACACAUCAUGUAGCGAAGUCGAUAAUCAAAAUAAAGGAUGACCAACUUCCUCUA